rnacentral:rRNA from 1 species
AGUGAACGCUGGCGGUAGGCCUAACACAUGCAAGUCGAACGGCAGCACAGUAAGAGCUUGCUCUUACGGGUGGCGAGUGGCGGACGGGUGAGGAAUACAUCGGAAUCUACUUUUUCGUGGGGGAUAACGUAGGGAAACUUACGCUAAUACCGCAUACGACCUUCGGUUGAAAGCAGGGGAUCUUCGGACCUUGCGCUAUUGAAUGAGCCGAUGUCGGAUUAGCUAGUUGGCUGGGUAAAGGACCACCAAGGCGACGAUCCGUAGCUGGUCUGAGAGGAUGAUCAGCCACACUGGAACGGAGACACGGUCCAGACUCCUACGGGAGGCAGCAGUGGGGAAUAUUCGACAAUGGGCGCAAGCCUGAUCCAGCCAUACCGCGUGGGUGAAGAAGGCCUUCGGGUUGUAAAGCCCUUUUGUUGGGAAAGAAAAGCAGCAGGUUAAUACCCCGCUGUUCUGACGGUACCCAAAGAAUAAGCACCGGCUAACUUCGUG